UACGUAGGGGGCAAGCGUUGUCCGGAAUUAUUGGGCGUAAAGAGCGCGUAGGCGGUCCGAUAAGUCGGCUGUGAAAGUCAGGGGCUCAACCCUUGAAAGCCGGCCGAUACUGUCGGACUAGAGUCCGGAAGAGGUGACUGGGAUUCCCGGUGUAGCGGUGAAAUGCGCAGAUAUCGGGAGGAACACCUAUGGCGAAGGCAGCUCGCUGGGACGUUACUGACGCUGAGACGCGAAAGCGUGGGGAGCAAACAGG
rnacentral:rRNA from 1 species